rnacentral:tRNA from 1 species
GAGUUAAAGUAUAAUUAAGCUUCUAACUUAAUUAAUAGCAUUUUUGUUAUUAACUCU